rnacentral:rRNA from 1 species
AGGGUGUAAACGCUGCAGACUUGGUGUUGGGAACCCUUCGGGGGUGCUCAGUGCCGGAGAGAAGUUGUUAAGUCUGCUACUUGGGGAGUACGUCCGCAAGGAUAAAACUUAAAGGAAUUGGCGGGGGAGCACCGCAACGGGAGGAGCGUGCGGUUUAAUUGGAUUCAACGCCGAAAAACUCACCAGCAGCGACUGUUACAUGAAAGUCAGGUUGAUGACCUUACUAGAUUUUCAGAGAGGAGGUGCAUGGCGUCAGUGACU